CUUAUUUUAUUUUUUUAUAAAAAUAUAUAUUAAAUAAUAUCAUUUUUGAUAAUAAUUGUCAAAAUGACACCUGAGAAUUAUUUUCUCAAAAAAAGACAUUGUUUAAUAUAUUUUUUUAAAAAAUAGAUAAAAUGGAAAAAAACUCUCAAGAAACCUCCCGAAACCUUCUCCACUCUUUGAUUCAAACUUCAUAUGCACGCCCGUCAGCUGGUCCAAGGAGAGACUGGUCGCCUGUGUACGACUCGAACGCGAUGCUGCUGUCCACAAUCUCCGAUUGGGACCUUCCCCUCUGCCAGCAGGGAUGCAAAGACGCAUACGGUGGCUAGGGCUCACUGCAGCGGCAAAGACUCAAGGCGGAGAGGGAUUUGCUACAGUGGGAUUCGACGAGGACGGUGGAAGAAGGCUUACGGUCGCUAGGGCUCACGGCAGCGGCGGCGGCCCACGACAGAAACGAACGGUGCCAGGGAUCACGCAGGCGGAGCAACAAAUGGUGCCGGGAGAGAGGAAAAACAAGUCUAUGCAAAUCCCAUCCAAAUCUCGCUUGACCAUCCAUCAGGAGAUUAGGUAAGUCUUAAAAUGGGAACUAUUUUGCGUAUUUAAUAUUUUAUUAAAUAAGAAAAAACUCUAGUUUGUAUUAUUAUUAUUAUUAUUAUUAUUUUUGGAGUACGUACCGGGUAUCCACGCAUCUGUUUUACGGUCCACGUCACUAAUCCUGCGCCCCCUUGAAGUUGACCUCAUAAAUCCAAAGGGAGGGUAAAUUCAGGAGUCCAAGAGCGGAAACGAGCCGAGAAGGGUUUGAACACCUGAUCUCGUGAAAGGCACUCCCGCAAUCCGUACUACCACUUCAACCACAGGAUAGUUUCUACUAUUAUUAUUAUUUUUUUGGGUAAUGUCGGGUAUCCACAGCCGUCAACGCGCGUCCGUUUUACGAUCCGCACGCACCGGCAUGUGACUAAUCCCACGCCCUGUAGCAGGAGCCCCACCCACCACAGAGAAGUAAUUCAGGCGCCCGCCGCAGGAAUCGAACCCAGAAUGCCAGGAUUAGGCUCACCUCGUGAAAGGAAAUCCCGAAGUCCGCCUUGCCAACUGAGCUCAGCCCUGGGGGCAUAGUAUCUACUAUUAUUGUACAUACGCGUACGUGAAUGAAGACAAAAGAAGUUAUUAACUAGGCUUGACUUGUCUCUCUGCUCCCUCUCUCAUCGAAGUCAUAAAAAAUAUAUUCACUGAUUCUACAAGAAAAAAGGGGAAGGAGCUGGUUAUUUUAUUAUUUUUUAAGAAGUCCCUGCGGGCAACCGGUCAAGAAAGUGGACAAGAAAGAUUACACUGCAUACAUGAAUACAAAAGUGUGAAAAAGUAAGUUCAAGUAAUGCCUAUUCUGACAAAGAAAGAAUUGGAAACCUGAAAGAGAUCAUGGCCUGCUUUAUGAUCGGAUUAUUUUCAGUUCUCCGCAUUUUUCCCAGUGUUUGCUUUGCCGUACCUUAUGUUACAGUCCCUCCUUCUCCAGUUCCACACACUUCUCCAGUUACAGUCUUUUCUCGAGGUAGUACUUCUCCAGUUCCACAUACUUCUCCAGUUACAGUCAUUUCUCGAGGUAACACUUCUCCAGUUCCAGACACUUCUCCAGUUACAGUCAUUUCUCCAGUUUCGGUCACUCCUUCAGUGUCAGUGGCUAGCCCUGUGCCAGUAGAAGGACCUGCAAAAGAUAUUUUACCAGCUUCACCACAUUCAGGCAAUAAAAUAAAUUUGGUGGCAAUAAUAGCAGGGUCUUCUUCUGCUGCUGUUGUCAUUAUUUGUCUUGCAAUUAUGUUACUAGUGACAUUGCAGAAGAGGAAUAAAAGGGAUGUGCCGGACGAUUACAAGCAAGUCCCUGGAAUUCCAAAGAGGUUUUCAUAUGAAGAUCUACGCAUUGCAACGGAGAAUUUCAAGGAAAAACUUGGUGGCGGAGGAUUUGGGUCUGUGUUCAAAGGAGUGCUAGGAGAUGGCACAAGGAUUGCAGUGAAGCGAUUGGAUAAAAUGGGCCAAGGAAUGAGAGAGUUCUUAGCAGAAGUGGAAACGAUAGGAAGCAUACACCAUUUUAAUCUUGUCCGGUUGAUCGGAUUUUGUGCAGAGAAGUCUUGCAGGCUUUUAGUGUAUGAAUACAUGUGUUAUGGUUCAUUGGAUAACUGGAUUUUCUGCAAUGACCAGAAACCAUGCUUGGAUUGGCAAAUGAGGAAGAAGAUUAUUCUAGACAUCGCCAAAGGGCUGGCUUAUCUACACGAAGAGUGCCGACAAAGAAUAGUUCAUCUUGAUAUAAAGCCACAAAACAUUCUCUUGGAUGAAAAUUUCAAUGCCAAGAUAUCUGAUUUUGGGUUGUCUAGGCUAAUGGACAGGGAUGAGAGCCAAGUCCAGACCAAUAUGAGGGGAACACCAGGGUACCUUGCUCCAGAGUGGUGUCAACUAAGAAUCACAGUGAAAGUGGACAUCUAUAGCUUUGGAAUUGUUCUCCUUGAGGUGGUCUGCGGAAGAAGAAAUUUGGAUCGAUCUCGGUCUGAAUCUGACAAACAUCUAUUGAGAUUGCUGCAGAAAAAGGCCGAGGAGAACCAACUUAUAGAUAUCGUUGAGAAUUUGGAUGAAGAAAUGCAAAUUUAUGAAGAAGAAAUCUUGAGGAUGAUAAGGAUUGGAGCUUGGUGUUUACAGGAUGAUCAUGCAAGAAGGCCUCUUAUGUCGACGGUAGUGAAGGUUUUGGAUGGAGUAAUGGAGGUAGACCCAAGCAUCAUAUACAAGUUUAGCCAUGCAAUGUCAACUCCUCCUGUUUCCAAUGACCAUGCUCUCACAGUACCACAAGCAUCUGUUCUUUCUGCCCCUAGAUGAAAGCGUGAUUUCUAUGUUGAGGAAAUUAGUACUUUGCACUGCUGAAGUGUCUUUAUGGAUGGAAUUGAAGUGUCUUCUGGGUGGAAUUGAUUUCUUCAUAGCAUUUUCUGCCGCUGCUCUCUGUGGUUCUCUUGGCAGAGCUUCCUUCAAUCGAGGACUCAUCCAUGCUGCGAUGAAGCUGUGCAAGGAAUCGAUCCCUGGAAUGGAGAUUGAGUACAUAGACGUAGCGCCGCUGCCGAUGCUCAACACCAAUCUGGAGAUCGACGGCAGCUACGACAUUCUAGAGAAGAGGCAGACUCUUCCGGUUUGGCACCAGAAAGAUGAGUUCUUGCAGGCUUUGAAGGCCAAUCAGUCCCUCAUCUUGUUCAACGAAACUGGUAGUGGUAAAACAACUCUGAUCCCUCAGUUUGUUUUGGAAGUUAUUGAUAUAGAUACGCCAGACAAACGGAAGGAGAUGAUGAUUGCCUGCACUCAGCCUCGUAGAGUGGCUGCAAUGUCUGUAUCAUGUCGAGUUGCUGAAGAGAUGGAUGUAAAUAUUGGGGAAGUUGGAUACAGCAUUGUUAAUAUUACUUGGAACCUGACCUUCCGGCUACUUCUCCAGCUCCAGCUCCGGUGUCCUUAUUAUCUUAAAUUUUUUUUCAUUUCUUUCUUCAAUCUUUCUGUUUCUUUUUCACUUCAAUGGUGAAACCUGAGUUUUCUGUGCAUUCUGCUUCUAUUGCAAAUGCAUAGUUCUUAAAAUUUUAUUCAUUUCUUUCUUCAAGUUUUCAUUACUUGGAAAA